UCAACCUGAAGAACCAGAAUUAAAGUUGAUCCCACAGGAAAAGUGUCUGAAGUACUGAGUCAGCUUUUCAGGAUAUGUGACACUUCAGGUCAGUGGUUACACUUCUUAAUGGCUGAUAAAGAAACUACAGUUGAUUUUGAGUGAUUUCGGUUGUUUGUCAUACACACAGAAAUUUUAGGGUGAUGCAUAGUAUUGUGUGGCUGUGCUGAUUAGAUUCCAUGUUAAAUCAAGAAUCUCAUACUCAAGUCUCUAAUUUUCACACUGAAGGAAAUACUGACAUCCAUGUAUGAUGAGCUGCUGUCCUCCGUGCUCCCUCCGCCUAUCUGCUUGAGGAUGACUCCAGCGUUCUCAAGAUGUGGGAUGUAGAACAAUCUGAUGAACCAGAUGUUGAUGAUGUGUCACUUCGUUUCCUCUCCAUUAGUAACAAUUCAACAGUUGCCACGUUCUUCUGCUCAGAGAAGACUGAAGUUGUACUUUGGGUAACAGUUAACGAUUUCCCCUCAUUGGCUCAUGCAUUUGUCAUGCUUUUUGGACUAACGUACGCCUUGGAUCUAAGUUCCCUAAAAGAGUUGGACAAUACAUUUGACUUUACCCACAAAUUCUUGAUGGGUCUGGAGGAUGGGAAGCUGAGACCCAGAGUGUUGAGUCUUAAAAAUGAACUUUUGUCAGUAGAGUUUCCUCAGUGUUUGAACAAAGCUUACAAAGGUACUGUUUUAUUUGACAUUUCAUUUAAACUUUCACUUCUGUCACUUUUAGUACAUUCUUUUCUUUCUUUCUUUCUUUCUUUCAAUAUUUGUCUAGUAUUUAAUUUGCAGAACAUUUUCUCAGUUGAUUUUCUGGAAUGGUAUAAGUUCCAUAUACAGUACCAUGUGUUCAUCCACUCAUAGAAAUGACUGUUUUAAAACAAACAUUGCUCUAUUUUGAAAUUUCUCUUAUAUUUUAUUCUAGUAUUACUUUUAUAUUUCUAAAGUUACUGUUUGAUGUGAAUUUUGGAAGUGUUCCUAUUUUAGGGAAGUGUUUACAGCUGGGUGAUAUCCAGAUAUCCAUAUUGUCCACUUCUAAAAGUGACAGUUAUUAUCUCAGCUCAUUUCUCAAGGGCCUUGCACUGUUUUGGAGAAUGUAUUUCCAUUUGACAAACAAUUUAAUGUUGAUGUUUUGUUAAUGAUUUGUGGUUACUUAAUAAAAUAGUAAUUUGCAUUUAAAUAGUCUUCUAACCCAUUUUUCUUAUUUUAUUUUUAUUUUAGUUAGUGUAUAGUUAUUUAUGAAAACGAAUGUUUUUACG
ensembl:lncRNA